AUGAGCCCCUGCCUCCUGGGCUGUGUGGUCUUCUGUCUCCUGCAGGCAGGGGCGGUCCAUGCUGGUGUCACUCAGGACCCCAGAUUCCAGGUGGUGAGGAGAGGACAGAGGGUGACACUGAGAUGCACUCAGGAUCUGAACUAUGAUUAUAUGUACUGGUACCGACAAGACCCAGGACACGGGCUGAGGCUGAUCCAUUACUCAGAUGGCCCUCCCACCACGGAAAAGGGAGACGUGCCUGACGGGUACAAUGUCUCCAGACCAAGCACAGAGAACUUCCCUCUCAUGCUGGAGUCUGCCAGCCGCUCCCAGACAUCUGUGUACUUCUGCGCCAGCAGUUACUCCACAGCGCUGCAGGGUCACCUCCUCUCUGUGCAAAAAGGCAAGGCAGCCCCUCGCUUGUGGGCUCCCAGCACCAGGAGCCUCAGGGCUCUGCUGCCACGUGCCUGCAGUGUGACCCUGAGUGUGUGGUCUGUGCUGGCCCAGACCUCACUCCAGGCCUUGCAGACAUGUGUCCACCAUCCAUUGCUGUCUUUUCUCUGUAUCGUCCCUGUGAACCAGGAGUUUCCCCAGCUCUGA